UUGUGGAGGCUCACUACUCGAUGACGGGCGUGGCGGUCCUCCGCAUCAUGUUUUUGCUGCAAGGCUGCAGGGAGUCCAUUCUCGUCGUUGUUCGCCAGGUGACGCCGCAGCCGCAGGUCGAGCUUGACCACCACGGUGGCGAACUGCAAAAGGCAUUUGGAUCCUUCCACUGCAGUUAUUGGGUUCUUUGUACGCUUUGAAGAUGAUAGUGUCGAUUCAGCAAAAGUGGUCAAACAGUGGAAUAUCAAAAUCAUAUCUAUAAGCAAGAAUAAAAGGCAUCAAGACAGACCGGCUGCUCUGGAGGUGUGGGAUCGGCUGGAUGAAUUUGUGCGGGCCGUACGUGUCUCUCUGGCUUAAUGACGCGGUGCUGCUGCUGCUACAAGGCGCUACCAAAAUUUUAAAUUAAGAAUUUGUUGGUGGUGAUUCAUUUUAAUUUUAUUGGCACGUUGCAUCUUUCAACAAGCUAAUGUUUGGUAUGACAAAACUACAGGGAACGGCACAUCCUCAUAUUACAAAGACAGAAUCUAUAAGGUUUUACUCUUUUGUCCAUUCUGAUUAUGUUUUCUUGAAGCAAGACUUAAUUACUCCAUGGUCCAUACAGUGAUAGUUCAUACACAGCCUAACAGUAUUUCCUUGACAUUUUGUUUUCUUUCAUUUUCAACUCCCAGUUGUUUAUACAGAAUUAUAGAUAUAAUAGUAGAAGUCGUCAGUGACAACUUCCUGCUGCACCUGCUUCUUACCACGGGCACAUGCAUGCAAAGGUUCUGUCAAAAGCCAUCUACGCGUGUGUUUUUCCACUCCAUAUCACCGAAAAGCAACGGUAUCUUUCUGGUGCCACCACCAACAGGUAUUGUUAGUUCUGUUGCCUCCAAUCUUAGUAGUAGUCGUCUCUCUGCAUCUCAGUCAAAUUGUACACUUUCAACUUUCUCAAGCAUUCGGCCAAAGUGGAGAUCAAUAUAUCAACUAGCAUAAUUGCUUGCUUUCAUACAGCAAGGUAUGAACAUAGCUAUGCAUUUUGCUGGUAUCCUUGGAAAUUUCUUAUCUAUCUUUCCUAAGGUGUUGAUUAGAUUUAUUUUUUUGUCUGAAAAAUCAUAAAGGAAAGAAACAAAUAAAUCUCUACAAGUUGUUGUCGCUCAUACUUGUGAACUAUUUUUAGGAGUAGUAUAAAAAUAUCAUUUGUUAUCACUAAUGGGAUAAGUAGAAUUUGGUUAUCUAAUAGGAGUUAUAUUUAUUUUUAUUUAUCUUUCCUAAGGUGUUGAUUUGAUUAAAAAUCUGAUUCAUCAUAAAGGAAAGACUCUGGGUUGUUAUCGCUCAUUUUGUGAACUAUUUUAGCGGUAGUCUAAAAAUACCAUCUGUGGUCACUAAUGAGAUCAAGGGAAUUUGGUUAUCUAAUAGUUGUAUUUAUUUUAUUCCAAACUCGCACGCUAGAAUUAGUAGCUUCAUUUGUUUCCGUUUGUGCACCUGCCAGCAAUAAUAUUUUUUAAGCAAUAUUAAAGAGCUGGUCCAUUGCUGAAAACUAAUUUCAUUUUCUAACCGUGUAUGCAAUUUUGCACUAUUUAUUUAAUGAAAACUUCAAUCCUGUCUUGCAUCAAUCUUCAUCUUGCAAAAUUAAAUCACCUCUCCAAUAUCUGCCUCUAACAAAUACUCAUGUUUAUCAAAUCAUCUUUAGUAUUCAUGUAUAUGAGAACCAUCUUCAGUGCUAUAUGGCAAUAUGACUAAUCUUCAAAGUACAUAUACUGCAAAUCCCGUCUUUUUUAGUGCGUGUACUUAACUGCAAUGCCAAUUUGUUGUGAACAUCCCAAAAUAGACAGUGUUACAUUAGUAAAGAAAAACAACUUUCUUAUGGUUACUGGAACCAAUCUGUUUAAUAUUUAGAAGCUCACGCAACAUGUCCCACAGCAACGCGCGGGGUAUCCGUCUGGUAUAUACAUGGAUGUGCGUACAUGGCCAGGACUUAUGUACGUGUCCGACCUGCCCUCUUUUACUUUUUCUUAGCAUGAGGUCUGGACAACUGCUUAUGUGUGUACGUGAUCAUGACUCUUUUUGACGGGCUAUUUCUAAUUCUUUCUAUUUUUAAGGGAAUAUUUCUAAUUCUUUCUAUGUCCCAUUUUGUAGAUUUGCUUCAGAUCACGGAAGCUUGGGUUGAUGGAGUGCUUGUCUUUAGUUUUUGUUUUGACUUUGUGAAACUUGCUACCUAUGAUGAAACUGUGUAAUAUUGAUGAAACUAUGUAUAUGUAUGGAUGAAA